rnacentral:misc_RNA from 1 species
GAUGAAGAACGUAGCGAAAUGCGAUACGUAAUGUGAAUUGCAGAAUUCAGUGAAUCAUCGAGUCUUUGAAUGCACAUUGCGCCCCCUGGUAUUCCGGGGGGCAUGCCUGUCCGAGCGUCAUUGCUGCUCUCAAGCACGGCUUGUGUGUUGGGCCUCCGUCCUCCUCCCGGGGGACGGGCCCGAAAGGCAGCGGCGGCACCGCGUCCGGUCCUCGAGCGUAUGGGGCUUCGUCACCCGCUCUUGUAGGCCCGGCCGGCGCUUGCCGACACAUCAAUCUUUUUUCCAGGUUGACCUCGGAUCAGGUAGGGAUACCCGCUGAACUUAAGCAUAUCAAUAAGCGGAGGA